rnacentral:rRNA from 1 species
UCCUACGGGAGGCAGCAGUGGGGAAUAUUGCACAAUGGAGGGGACCCUGAUGCAGCCAUGCCGCGUGUGUGAAGAAGGCCUUCGGGUUGUAAAGCACUUUCAGUUGUGAGGAAAAGUUAGUAGUUAAUACCUGCUAGCCGUGACGUUAACAACAGAAGAAGCACCGGCUAACUCCGUGCCAGCAGCCGCGGUAAUACGGAGGGUGCGAGCGUUAAUCGGAAUUACUGGGCGUAAAGCGCACGCAGGCGGUUUGUUAAGCUAGAUGUGAAAGCCCCGGGCUCAACCUGGGAUGGUCAUUUAGAACUGGCAGACUAGAGUCUUGGAGAGGGGAGUGGAAUUCCAGGUGUAGCGGUGAAAUGCGUAGAUAUCUGGAGGAACAUCAGUGGCGAAGGCGACUCCCUGGCCAAAGACUGACGCUCAUGUGCGAAAGUGUGGGUAGCGAACAGGAUUAGAUACCCUGGUAGUCCACACCGUAAACGCUGUCUACUAGCUGUGUGUGUCUUUAAGACGUGCGUAGCGAAGCUAACGCGCUAAGUAGACCGCCUGGGGAGUACGGCCGCAAGGUUAAAACUCAAAUGAAUUGACGG